rnacentral:ncRNA from 1 species
GAAAAGACACAGAACGGAAAGAGUAGCAGUGUGAGAACUUACAGAGAGGGGCUGUCGCUGGCUGAAAGCAGCCUUUAAGGGAAGCUCUGUGAAGUGCGUCCGGGAGUUGAUCGGGUGAACAGGUGCAGGUUAUCUCAGUAGCCGGAUACGUUUAGCAUACGUUACAUGUAUAAAGUGGAGAAGUACUUGAAUGGAUUAAGGCUUCUCUAUUAGAGUGGAACCGCGGAGUAUUGACUUCGUCUCUUGU